rnacentral:rRNA from 1 species
CCAAUAGCGUAUAUUAAAGUUGUUGCAGUUAAAAAGCUCGUAGUUGAAUUUCGGGAUCAGUACGCUGGUCGUGCCUUUGGUAUGUACUGGUGUCACUGAUUCCUCCCUUCUGAAGAACCGUUAUGCCAUUUAUUUGGUGUGGCGGGAAAUCAGGACUGUUACUUUGAAAAAAUUAGAGUGUUUAAAGCAGGCUCGCGCUUGAAUACAUUAGCAUGGAAUAAUGAAAUAGGACGUUUGAUCUUAUUUUGUUGGUUUCUAGGAUCGACGUAAUGAUUAAUAGGUAUAGUUGGGGGCAUUAGUAUUAAAUUGUCAGAGGUGAAAUUCUUGGAUUUAUUGAAGACUAACUACUGCGAAAGCAUUUGCCAAGGAUGUUUUCAUUAAUCAAGAACGAAAGUUAGGGGAUCGAAGACGAUCAGAUACCGUCGUAGUCUUAACCAUAAACUAUGCCGACUAGGGAUCGGAUGAUGUUAAUUUUUUAAUGACUCAUUCGGCGCCUUACG